GUGGUCCCCAACCUUUUUAUUACCACAGACCGGUUGUCUUGGCCUUUUUAUCACAGCCUGUGGGGUUUACCCUGACUGGGAACGAGAAUACAACCUGCUGAAUGUGACAGGUAGCCAAUCAGAAAGCG